CUCCGAUCCUUUAGUCAGAACCGUUCAGCUCUGGCUGCCUCAUCUCCCUCAUCUGUACAAUGGGGAUGCCGGGCUCUCGGGAGGGGCCGAGCCUCCCUUCCCCCCACCCCGGGCCGGGGACCGGACUAAGGGAGAUCCCGGGGACCGGAAGGACAAGGGCUGGAGGGCGCGGCGUCAGCAACAGAAACCGACUGCGAGGGGGCGCACACGGCAAACCGGGGCCCGGGCCAGGCCCGAGUCCCCAGCACACAGUAGGCUCUCAGAGAACGGGGAUGAAAGCGCCCAAACCCUGCCCGCCUUGGACUUAUGCGAGCCUGGCACCAGGGGAGCCGGGAAGCCCAGCUCCGCCUUGUCCCUGCAGAGAUGCUCCCACAGAGGAGCGCCACAGAGCUUGGAUGGAUAUCCAAGAUGGCAGCCAGAGCACAAGGGCCCAGCGAGGCAGGGGGGCCUUCAGGAGGACCCAGGACCGAAGUCGGACAGCAGGACCAUCCUCCUGGUGCGAAAUCUCUCCCAGGGCCUGGCGCAUAGUGCCUAAUGUCAAUUGGCCCGUGUGUGUGCUUCUGCUUUCUUUGAGAAGAUGGUGGUGGCUGAAGGGGAGGGAAUAAACACUUCUGAAGCACCUACUAAGCUAAGCACUUUACAGACUUUCCUGUUUGACCCUCCCAAUAGCCUCCGUAAGGAGGGUGCUGAGGAAAUUGAGGCAAAAAGGGUCAGCACACAGUGGGUGGUUUUCACUCUUUCUUCCACUCACUGACAGAAGCUGGUCAUUUCCCAGCAGUUUCAUCAGAGGCGGCCGAGGGCGCCUCCCCCAUCCUUCCCUGGGCAUCCCCCAGCUUCCUCAGCUGGGAAACGGGGCUGUGAAUGGCUCCCACCUCCCAGGGUUGUCAUGAGGGCCAUGGCUGUAAAGUGCUGGGCACACAGGAGGUGUUUAACAAAUGCCGCUUCCCACACACACACACACUUCCUGGAACUUGGUGACGCCGCGUCCUCCAGCCCUUGACCUU
rnacentral:lncRNA from 1 species